CGAGGCUUGCAGCCAGCAGCAUCGCGAGUCUCUAGGCUGAAAUUUUGUAUAAAUGGACGCACAAGCUUUCUCUCAGCCCUGACCAGUCCCCCCAGUCCCUGUUGCUGAAAAACACCCCCACAGCAUGAUGCUGCCACCACCAUGCUUCAUCAUUGAGACGGUAUUGGGCAGGUGAUGAACGGUGCCUGGUUUCCUUCAGACAUGAUGCUUAGAACUGAGGUGGAGCACCUGCUUAACGAGAACAUCCACAUCUGUGCACACCAUCGCACUGCCUGCAUCUGCAGUGCAGGCCUAAUGGCUGUGAUUGGAGGAGAGAGGAGACACAAAGCCCUGUUUGAUUGGACAAGAGCUGAGGCUCAGCAUAACGUGACUGGAGUAAGAGGACUCUCAUGUUGCUGGGCUUGUUGAAAAUUACCACUGCUUCUGUUUGCACAAACAUAAGAUAAU